rfam:Rhodoferax ferrireducens T118, complete genome.
UCCCGCGGGUCAGGAGAGAGCCGCCCCUUGAGGUGGCCGCCGAAGGCGCAGAGUUGCUGAUCGCAGCAGUUUGAACGCUCAGGCAAAAGGACUGACAAACGCUU